rnacentral:rRNA from 1 species
GAAUCUUCCGCAAUGCGCGAAAGCGUGACGGAGCAAUGCCGCGUGCAGGAUGAAGCCCCUCGGGGUGUAAACUGCUGUCAGAGUUCAGCAACACAAUGAGCAGACUCAAAGGAAGGGCCGGCUAACUUCGUGCCAGCAGCCGCGGUAAUACGAAGGGCCCGAGCGUUGCGCGGAAUCAUUGGGCUUAAAGCGUGCGUAGGCGGACUCAUAAGCACUUUGUGAAAUCCCUCGGCUCAACCGAGGAACUGCUUGGUGAACUGUGAGUCUUGAGGCAAGUAGGGGCUGUCGGAACGAUAGGUGGAGCGGUGAAAUGCGUUGAUAUCUAUCGGAACGCCAAAGGCGAAGGCAGGCAGCUGGGCUUGUUCUGACGCUCAGGCACGAAAGCGUGGGGAGCGAACGGG